rnacentral:rRNA from 1 species
GACGAACGCUGGCGGCGCGCCUAACACAUGCAAGUCGAACGGAGCUGAGAGAAGCUUGCUUUUCUUAGCUUAGUGGCGAACGGGUGAGUAACGCAUGAGUAACCUGCCCUGGAGUGGGGGACAACAGUUGGAAACGACUGCUAAUACCGCAUAAGCCCACGAUCCGGCAUCGGAUUGAGGGAAAAGGAUUUAUUCGCUUCAGGAUGGACUCGCGUCCAAUUAGCUAGUUGGUGAGGUAACGGCCCACCAAGGCGACGAUUGGUAGCCGGACUGAGAGGUUGAACGGCCACAUUGGGACUGAGACACGGCCCAGACUCCUACGGGAGGCAGCAGUGGGGGAUAUUGCACAAUGGGGGAAACCCUGAUGCAGCGACGCCGCGUGGAGGAAGAAGGUUUUCGGAUUGUAAACUCCUGUCGUUAGGGACGAUAAUGACGGUACCUAACAAGAAAGCACCGGCUAACUACGUG